UCACCAGAUAAGAUUAGCCCAAGAACGAAG
rnacentral:piRNA from 2 species